rnacentral:pre_miRNA from 1 species
GUUGAACGUGCCCGAUACUUUGUCUCAACCUGAGAGUUUUAAUCUUGCAAAUGAAAAAGGUGAGCAAAGUUUCAGGUGUGUUUGGUG